CGUGCAUUUAUCAGACCAAAAACCGGCCGCGUCUUCGGGCGCGUUCGCCUUGGUGACUCUGGAUAACUUUGCGGAUCGCACGGUCUAGCACCGGCGACGGAUCAUUCAAGUGUCUGCCCUAUCAACUUUCGUCGGUACGGUAUUUGCCUACCUAGGUUCUUACGGGUGACGGGGAAUCAGGGUUCGAUUCCGGAGAGGGAGCCUGAGAAACGGCUACCACAUCCAAGGAAGGCAGCAGGCGCGCAAAUUACCCAUUCCCGACGCGGGGAGGUAGUGACGAAAAAUAACAAUGCAGGACUCGUUCGAGGCCCUGUAAUUGGAAUGAGUACACUUUAAAAGCUUUAACGAGUAUCCAUUGGAGGGCAAGUCUGGUGCCAGCAGCCGCGGUAAUUCCAGCUCCAAAAGUAUAUAUUUAAGUUGUUGCGGUUAAAAAGCUCGUAGUUGGAUUUUGGGCGCAGGCGGCCGGUCCGUCGCAAGGCGUGUACUGGACGUCCUGGCCUUCCCUCCGGUUCUCCGCCGGUGCUCUUGACUGAGUGUCGGCGGCGGCCGGAACGUUUACUUUGAAAAAAUUAGAGUGUUCAAAGCAGGCUCUCGAGCCUGGAUAAUGGUGCAUGGAAUAAUGGAAUAGGACCUCGGUUCUAUUUUGUUGGUUUUCGGAGCGCGAGGUAAUGAUUAAGAGGGACAGACGGGGGCAUUCGUACUGUGCCGUUAGAGGUGAAAUUCUUGGAUCGGCGCAAGACGAACGACUGCGAAAGCAUUUGCCAAGAAUGUUUUCUUUAAUCAAGAGCGAAAGUCAGAGGUUCGAAGACGAUCAGAUACCGUCCUAGUUCUGACUAUAAACGAUGCCCACUA
rfam:Ciona savignyi cont_45368, whole genome shotgun sequence.